rnacentral:rRNA from 1 species
GGUAUGCUUCUUCGGAAGCAGAGACCGGCGCACGGGUGCGUAACGCGUAUGCAAUCUACCUUUUACAGAGGGAUAGCCCAGAGAAAUUUGGAUUAAUACCUCAUAGUAUAGCUGAAUCGCAUGAUUCUACUAUUAAAGUCACAACGGUAAAAGAUGAGCAUGCGUCCCAUUAGCUAGUUGGUAAGGUAACGGCUUACCAAGGCUACGAUGGGUAGGGGUCCUGAGAGGGAGAUCCCCCACACUGGUACUGAGACACGGACCAGACUCCUACGGGAGGCAGCAGUGAGGAAUAUUGGACAAUGGGCGCAAGCCUGAUCCAGCCAUGCCGCGUGCAGGAUGACGGUCCUAUGGAUUGUAAACUGCUUUUAUACGAGAAGAAACACUGCUUCGUGAAGCAGCUUGACGGUAUCGUAAGAAUAAGGAUCGGCUAACUCCGUGCCAGCAGCCGCGGUAAUACGGAGGAUCCAAGCGUUAUCCGGAAUCAUUGGGUUUAAAGGGUCCGUAGCGCGGUUUAAUAAGUCAGUGGUGAAAGCCCAUCGCUCAACGGUGGAACGGCCAUUGAUACUGUUAAACUUGAAUUAUUAGGAAGUAACUAGAAUAUGUAGUGUAGCGGUGAAAUGCUUAGAGAUUACAUGGAAUACCAAUUGCGAAGGCAGGUUACUACUAAUGGAUUGACGCUGAUGGACGAAAGCGUGGGUAGCGAACAGGAUUAGAUAACCCUGGUAGUCCACGCCGUAAACGAUGGAUACUAGCUGUUGGGAGCAAUCUCAGUGGCUAAGCGAAAGUGAUAAGUAUCCCACCUGGGGAGUACGUUCGCAAGAAUGAAACUCAAAGGAAUUGACGGGGGCCCGCACAAGCGGUGGAGCAUGUGGUUUAAUUCGAUGAUACGCGAGGAACCUUACCAAGGCUUAAAUGUAGAUUGACCGGUUUGGAAACAGAUCUUUCGCAAGACAAUUUACAAGGUGCUGCAUGGUUGUCGUCAGCUCGUGCCGUGAGGUGUCAGGUUAAGUCCUAUAACGAGCGCAACCCCUGUUGUUAGUUGCCAGCGAGUCAUGUCGGGAACUCUAACAAGACUGCCAGUGCAAACUGUGAGGAAGGUGGGGAUGACGUCAAAUCAUCACGGCCCUUACGCCUUGGGC